CCACUUUUUUAUACAAUAACCAACCCACUUUUCAAUAUCCAAAUCAGUCCAACCCCAUUAACAAUAUAUUACAGCAAGCAAACGACCCCACCUCUUUCUUUUUCAUUUUCACACAACAAAAUCUAAUCUAGAAACGUGAUCCAUCGAUUCCAGCGACUCAAAUCGCGAACCAGCAGCCCAGCUACCGCAAAACGCAGCCCAGCAGUCCAUGUCACUCGCGCGUGUCUAUCUUCGUACAAGGAUCGUUGUUGGAUUUUCUAUGUGUUAUCAUCUUGGUGCCUCGCAUGUCCUUGUUCAAGAUCGGAAGACUCCCUUCAUAUUUCGGUUGGAAAUUGGUACUCGUUCUAAGAUGGAAACCUUAUCCUCCAUUUCGAAUUUGAAUUUGUUGAAAUUCCAUCCCGAAUUUCCUCCUAUUUUCUGCCCUAAUUUAAUUAUAUAAAUACCUUCAUCUUUCUCUUUGUGAAGGGAAAAAAAAGAGAGAGUGAGAGGGUUACGAAAAUGGAAAAAAAGUGAGACAAAAUAGACGUUGCAGGUAACUUGUAAAAGUUGGAUAAGAGCCAACAAUAGAGAGAAAAGUAGAGAAAUUAUUAGUCAUAUACAUUUAUAUAAGAAUACUUAGGAAAUAGGUUGCAAAAUAGAUUGAAAAAUCCAGGUUUUACUCCCUCUUUUUACUGGUUCGCUUCUGUUUUCUUUAUCGAACUUCUCGGAGUUUUGUUUCGAUGGUGGAAGCUUGCUGUCUCUGCUCAUUCAGUCUAAGUUCAGCUGCUCGGAAAAAGGUAAUAGUCCCUUCUUCACUUACGUUAAUCGUUAUAUUAUGCGUUUAAUUUAUCUCGGUUAGAAAUCCAAAAUACUUAAAUGUGCAUUUAUUUUUCCUUACACAGUGAAGUCAUUUAGCUGAAUCAUGCUUAAUAUGCUAGUACAGUGGUCUCUCUCUGGUUAUUUUAAUGAAGUUGAAACAUUGUUCUUUUACAACUCUAACAUAUCAGUGGAUUAGGAUGUUUAAGUGGCCCAUUUUAAUAGGCUUAUGAUGUAUUCAUGUAUAUCUUCUAUGUAUAUAUGGUUAUAUCAUGUGUUAUGACUAUCAUUUUACUUUUCUAUAGUAUGUAGCUUGAAGAACAUACUCAAGCAUGCUUAAAAUCAUUAAUUGUCAUAUUCUGUUAUAAGUUCUUUUUUUAUGCUAUGAGUGUAGUCUUCAAAUCAAAGUUUGUAAUGUGGGUUCUUCACUUUUCUUAUGUGUUCUACUUCCUAGAAUGAUGGUAAAUAAUGUUUUGCAUUUGAAACAAGUUGCUUAGUAGACUAAAGAGUUGACUUUGUUAAUGAUAAGUUUUAGUGUUACUUUCUUGUUUAUAUUGAGAUCCUUCAUUGCUCUUAAUACUAUUUAAUUAUGCUACUUGAUUGUUUAAACCACAUCUUUGUUAGACUUUGACGAAAUUGAUUUGUUAAUUUCGUUUUUGUUGCAUGUGAUACCACUCGAGUCCUCAUGGAAUCCAAUCUUCUUCCCUCAUAUUUCGGAUGGGCCAUAAAGGCCCUAAAUCCCCUUUUUCCUUCGAGUCAGCCCCUUCAGCAAGCUGCAAAAUUGAUGUACAGGUUGAGGUCGAUAAAUGUAGGCUGGAAAUUAAUUUUACAGGUCUCUAAAAAUCCCAAAAGAGGUGAUGGUAGUCUGAAAUGGGCAGCAUACAUUCAGCAUACAUCCCAAUAUACACGGAAACGAGUUGAAAUACAUAUCGUAUACAUCCAUAUACGUUUGGUGUAUAAACAUAUUUUAAGUGUGGAAAAUAAGGAAUAUAGGGCCAGAAGCCCAAAGGAAAUUCCAGAAAGCCCAACAGGUCUAAGUAGGUCAAGAUCCAUUUUGGAUUACUUAGAUUUAGGACAGGUUAUAAAGAUUUGGGCCUAAAGCCCAAAUUUAAUACUCUCUUCCCUUUUACUCUUAUUUGUAUUGUUUUAAGUAGAGAAAAUUGUAUAAAAUAGCAAUCUUAAGUUUAUAAAAAAUGUUUCUAAUUGUAUAAAGCAGAGAAAAUUGUAUAAAUACAUAUAUUUUUGUU